rnacentral:rRNA from 1 species
UUACAAUGGAGAGUUUGAUCCUGGCUCAGGAUGAACGCUAGCGGCAGGCCUAAUACAUGCAAGUCGGACGGGAUUCAGGGAGUAGCUUGCUACAAACUGAUGAGAGUGGCGCACGGGUGCGUAACGCGUGAGCAACCUACCCAUAUCAGGGGGAUAGCCUCUCGAAAGAGAGAUUAACACCGCAUAACAUCAUUUACCGGCAUCGGUUUUUGAUCAAAUAUUUAUAGGAUAUGGAUGGGCUCGCGUGACAUUAGCUAGUUGGAGAGGUAACGGCUCACCAAGGCUACGAUGUCUAGGGGCUCUGAGAGGAGAAUCCCCCACACUGGUACUGAGACACGGACCAGACUCCUACGGGAGGCAGCAGUAAGGAAUAUUGGUCAAUGGAGGCAACUCUGAACCAGCCAUGCCGCGUGCAGGAUGACUGCCCUAUGGGUUGUAAACUGCUUUUGUCAGGGAAUAAACCUUUCUACGUGUAGAAAGCUGAAUGUACCUGAAGAAUAAGGAUCGGCUAACUCCGUGCCAGCAGCCGCGGUAAUACGGAGGAUCCAAGCGUUAUCCGGAUUUAUUGGGUUUAAAGGGUGCGUAGGCGGUCCUAUAAGUCAGUGGUGAAAGACGGCAGCUUAACUGUCGCAGUGCCUUUGAUACUGUAGGACUUGAAUCUAUUUGAAGUGGGCGGAAUAAGACAAGUAGCGGUGAAAUGCAUAGAUAUGUCUUAGAACUCCGAUUGCGAAGGCAGCUCACUAAGUUAGUAUUGACGCUGAUGCACGAAAGCGUGGGGAUCAAACAGGAUUAGAUACCCUGGUAGUCCACGCCCUAAACGAUGAUAACUCGAUGUUUGCGAUACACAGUAAGCGUCCAAGCGAAAGCGUUAAGUUAUCCACCUGGGGAGUACGGUCGCAAGAUUGAAACUCAAAGGAAUUGACGGGGGCCCGCACAAGCGGAGGAGCAUGUGGUUUAAUUCGAUGAUACGCGAGGAACCUUACCCGGGCUUGAAAGUUAGUGAAUGAUCCAGAGACGGAUCAGUCCUUCGGGACACGAAACUAGGUGCUGCAUGGCUGUCGUCAGCUCGUGCCGUGAGGUGUUGGGUUAAGUCCCGCAACGAGCGCAACCCCUAUGUUUAGUUGCCAGCACAUUAAGGUGGGGACUCUAAACAGACUGCCAGCGUAAGCUGUGAGGAAGGUGGGGACGACGUCAAGUCAUCAUGGCCCUUACGUCCGGGGCUACACACGUGCUACAAUGGACGGUACAGCGGGCAGCUACAUAGCAAUAUGAUGCUAAUCUCUAAAAGCCGUUCACAGUUCGGAUUGAGGUCUGCAACUCGACCUCAUGAAGUUGGAUUCGCUAGUAAUCGCGUAUCAGCAAUGACGCGGUGAAUACGUUCCCGGGCCUUGUACACACCGCCCGUCAAGCCAUGAAAGUUGGGGGUACCUAAAGCAUGUAACCGCAAGGAGCGUGUUAGGGUAAAACCGAUAAUUGGGGCUAAGUCGUAACAAGGUAGCCGUACCGGAAGGUGCGGCUGGAAUACCUCCUUUCUAGAGCAUUCGGAAUUGAAGCUCGUUACGGAUACACAUGAUUUAUAUAAGAAACAAAAACAUUUGAAGAAAUGUGCCCAUCCCUGAAA